rnacentral:lncRNA from 1 species
AUGCAGCGACAAAGGGGUGUGAUGGGACAACAUGCAGCCAUGCUGUGCCAGACGAGCCCCCACCCCAGGGUGCCCACUCCCAAAAGGAGCAGGGCUGAAAGGCAGAGCAGCACCCACUCAAUGUACCGGGAAGGGGAGCACCUGCGCCGUGCCGUGCGGGGCCCCAACCGCCGCCGCAGCGCAUCCAGCUCAGCUGCACGGUCCUUCCUGCAGGCAGAGCACAGCAGGGUCAGGGACACGGAUAGGGACAGGAUGGGGAUGGAGGGUGCUCUGGAGCUGGGAUCCUCACAGCGUGGCCUCGAGCUCCCGCUGCUUCUCCUCGCAUCGCUCCCCACGUGCCCUCAGUGCUCUCCGCUGCUCCGCCACCUCCUCCAGCCUCUGCUGCAGCCCCAGCGCCCGCUCUGCGCCCUGAGCCAGCUCCUCUGCGGGGCAAAGGGACGCCCUGAGCUGAUCGCGUGGCCAGGUGACAUCCGUGUGGGUUUGGGGUUUGAGGUUGGGUGGACAGACGCACCUUGCAGUGCUGUGUUCCUGUGGGACAGCUCAGCCCUGUCACGCCGCAGCCCCUCCAGCUCAUCCUGCAGCGCUGUGAUGUUGGCUUCCAGCCUGGCCUGGGGACACCGUGGCACUGAGAUGGGGCACAGCCUGCCCCUGCCUCGCUGUCAUCCUCCCCGGUGUCUCCAGAGCCAUCCCUGUACUCUUGGUGGCUUUGUGUCCCGUUGUCACACAGGGAAGGUUUCUCCAAGGGUUUGGGGAUGGAUUUGGGGGAAAUUCACACACCAAAGGGCCAGCUGGUGCCUGGUCUUGGUGAGAAUGCACAUAGAGACCCAAAAGGUCUGCAACUCACUGAGGCACACAGAGCCCCCUGCCCAGCCAUGCGCUCCUGGAGGGGCCAGGCGCUCCUGCUGGACAGCAGCACCUCCCACUGGGACCCCACAGCCGGCGCCAGCCCUGAACACCAGAGCGUUUCCAGCCCCUCUGGGCCAUUGUCCGGCCGGAUGGGGGGAGAGGUGGGCCCCUCUUCCUCUGGCCGCAGUGCAGGGCCGAGCCCUUUCCCAGCUGCUAAAAAUACCCCCGAGGAGAGGAGCUCCACACCAGCCUGCAGCCUCCACUGCUGCUUUGGGAUGCAGUAAUUAUAUGUGUGUGGAGCAGCUCAGUUUGGGCACUGCUAAGAAUAGCCAUCCCAAGCUGGGCACAGGGAACCGGACAGCAGCUCUCCAUACCCCACCGAGGGCUGAGGCUCCCCAGCAACCAAACCACCCUGGAGACGGAGCAUCCUCAGGGGCCCCUUCUCAGCCCAGCAUCACUCUCCCCAAGUAUACAACCCCAUAG